UUUAAAUGUUCAGUUCUAGAAAGUAGGACCAUGGGACAGGGUCAGAAAGGUCAUUAUAACACAGUGAAGUAGGACCAUGGGACAGGGUCAGAAAGGUCAUUAUAACACAGUGAAGUAGGGCCAUGGGACAGGGUCAGAAAGGUCAUUAUAACACAGUGAAGUAGGACCAUGGGACAGGGUCAGAAAGGUCAGUAUGUUUGAUACCUGGUUAUAGAGGUGACAUAACAAGCAUAAGGUCCAUUAUAACACAGUGAAUUAGAGGUGGGAGCUAAAAGCAGACAUGGACAGUGAGACGGUGUGAGGAGGUCAGGGGUCAAACACUAGAUCAGGACAGGUAGAAAUGGCAGGGCUGGAAAUAGACAGAGACACAUUCUGAUCAUGGC